rnacentral:rRNA from 1 species
GACGAACGCUGGCGGCGUGCCUAAUACAUGCAAGUUGAGCGCUGAAGGCUGGUACUUGUACCAACUGGGUGAGCAGCGAACGGGUGAGUAACGCGUGGGGAAUCUGCCUUUGAGCGGGGGACAACAUUGGGAAACGAAUGCUAAUACCGCAUAAAAUCUUGAAACACAAGUUUUAAGGUUGAAAGAUGCAAUUUCAUCACUCAAAGAUGAUCCCGCGUUGUAUUAGCUAGUUGGUGAGGUAAAGGCGCACCAAGGCGAGGAUACAUAGCCGACCUGAGAGGGUGAGCGGCCACAUUGGGACUGAGACACGGCCCAAACGCAUACGGGAGGCAGCAGUAGGGAAUCUUCGGCCAGGGACGAAAGUCUGACCGAGCAACGCCGAGUGAGGAAAGAAGGUUGUCGGAUCGUAAAUCUCUGUUGUUAGAGAAGAACGUGGGUGAGAGUGGAAAGCUCAGCAAGUGACGGUAACUACUCAGAAAGGGACGGCUAACUACGUG